rnacentral:rRNA from 1 species
ACGUAUGGAGCAAGCGUUAUCCGGAUUUACUGGGUGUAAAGGGAGCGUAGGCGGUCCUGCAAGUCUGAUGUGAAAGGCCGGGGCUCAACCCCGGGACUGCAUUGGAAACUGUAGGACUAGAGUGUCGGAGGGGUAAGUGGAAUUCCUAGUGUAGCGGUGAAAUGCGUAGAUAUUAGGAGGAACACCAGUGGCGAAGGCGGCUUACUGGACGACCACUGACGCUGAGGCUCGAAAGCGUGGGGAGCAAACAG